UACGAAGGGGGCUAGCGUUGCUCGGAAUCACUGGGCGUAAAGCGCACGUAGGCGGCUUUUAAGUCAGAGGUGAAAUCCUGGAGCUCAACUCCAGAACUGCCUUUGAUACUGGAGAGCUUGAGUCCGGGAGAGGUGAGUGGAACUGCGAGUGUAGAGGUGAAAUUCGUAGAUAUUCGCAAGAACACCAGUGGCGAAGGCGGCUCACUGGCCCGGUACUGACGCUGAGGUGCGAAAGCGUGG
rnacentral:rRNA from 1 species